rnacentral:rRNA from 1 species
UCAGGACGAACGCUGGCGGCGUGCUUAACACAUGCAAGUCGAGCGGAAAGGCCUUUCGGGGUACUCGAGCGGCGAACGGGUGAGUAACACGUGAGUAACCUGCCCCUGGCUUUGGGAUAACCAUCGGAAACGGUGGCUAAUACCGAAUAUUCACUUUGGAUCGCAUGAUCUUUUGUGGAAAGUUUUUCGGCUGGGGAUGGGCUCGCGGCCUAUCAGCUUGUUGGUGGGGUGAUGGCCUACCAAGGCUUUGACGGGUAGCCGGCCUGAGAGGGCGACCGGCCACACUGGGACUGAGACACGGCCCAGACUCCUACGGGAGGCAGCAGUGGGGAAUAUUGCACAAUGGGCGGAAGCCUGAUGCAGCGACGCCGCGUGAGGGAUGACGGCCUUCGGGUUGUAAACCUCUUUCAGCAGGGACGAAGCGAAAGUGACGGUACCUGCAGAAGAAGCGCCGGCCAACUACGUGCCAGCAGCCGCGGUAAGACGUAGGGCGCGAGCGUUGUCCGGAUUUAUUGGGCGUAAAGAGCUCGUAGGCGGCUUGUUGCGUCGUCCGUGAAAACCUGGGGCUCAACUCCAGGCUUGCGGUCGAUACGGGCAGGCUAGAGUUCGGUAGGGGAGACUGGAAUUCCUGGUGUAGCGGUGAAAUGCGCAGAUAUCAGGAGGAACACCGGUGGCGAAGGCGGGUCUCUGGGCCGAUACUGAC